rnacentral:lncRNA from 8 species
AAAAAGUAUAACCUGAGGGUUCUGAACAGUUGUCAUGGUAAUAUAGGCUCCUAUAGACAACAGUAUAACCUGAGGGUUCUGAACAGUUGUCAUGGUAAUAUAGUCUCCUAUAGACAACAGUAUAACCUGAGGGUUCUGAACAGUUGUCAUGGUAAUAUAGGCUCCUAUAGACAACAUUAUAACCUGAGGGUUCUGAACAGUUGUCAUGGUAAUAUAGUCUCCUAUAGACAACAGUAUAACCUGAGGGUUCUGAACAGUUGUCAUGGUAAUAUAGGCUCCUUGAGACAACAGUAUAACCUGAGGAUUCUGAACAGUUGUCAUUGUAAUAUAGUCUCCUAUAGACAACCGUAUAACCUGAGGAUUCUGAACAGUUGUCAUGGUAAUAUAGGCUCCUUGAGACAACAGUAUAACCUGAGGGUUCUGAACAGUUGUCAUGGUAAUAUAGGCUCCUUGAGACAACAGUAUAACCUGAGGGUUCUGAACAGUUGUCAUGGUAAUAUAGGCUCCUUGAGACAACAGUAUAACCUGAGGGUUCUGAAUAGUUGUCAUGGUAAUAUAGGCUCCUAUAGACAACAGUAUAACCUGAGGGUUCUGAACAGUUGUCAUGGUAAUAUAGGCUCCUAUAGACAACAGUAUAACCUGAGGGUUCUGAACAGUUGUCAUGGUAAUAUAGGCUCCUAUAGACAACAGUAUAACCUGAGGGUUCUGAACAGUUGUCAUGGUAAUAUAGGCUCCUAUAGACAACAGUAUAACCUGAGGGUUCUGAACAGUUGUCAUGGUAAUAUAGGCUCCUAUAGACAACAUUAUAACCUGAGGGUUCUGAACAGUUGGACAGUGGAUCUGUGUUUGUGUUUUUACUCUGCUUCUGUUGUUUUUCUACAUUUCUGUAAGUCUUUACAUUUCUUAAGGACUGGAAGACUAGCUCUUGGUGGGCUAAAAUACAUCCUUAUAAAAACCAAUCAAACAGGUGGGAGCAGAAUGCAAACACAUAGGAAUUUAGAUGGGACCCUGCAAUGA